rnacentral:rRNA from 1 species
GGAGUUAGCCGGUGCUUCUUCUGUGAGUGAUGUCCUUCCUGCCGGCUAUUAACCCGCAGGCCUUCUUCCUCACUGAAAGUGCUUUACAACCCGAAGGCCUUCUUCACACACGCGGCAUGGCUGGAUCAGGGUUGCCCCCAUUGUCCAAUAUUCCCCACUGCUGCCUCCCGUAGGAGUCUGGGCCGUGUCUCAGUCCCAGUGUGGCUGAUCAUCCUCUCAGACCAGCUACGGAUCGUCGCCUUGGUGAGCCGUUACCUCACCAACCAGCUAAUCCGACAUAGGCUCAUCCGAUAGCGCGAGGCCCGAAGGUCCCCCGCUUUCCCCCGUAGGGCGUAUGCGGUAUUAGCCUGGGUUUCCCCAGGUUAUCCCCCACUACCGGGCAGAUUCCUAUGCAUUACUCACCCGUCCGCCGCUCGCCACCAGGGAGCAAGCUCCCCGUGCUGCCGCUCGUCUUGCAUGUGUUAGGCCUGCCGCCAGCGUUCAAUCUGAGCCAGAAUCAAACUCUGA